AGUGAACGCUGGCGGUAGGCCUAACACAUGCAAGUCGAACGGCAGCACAGUAAGAGCUUGCUCUUACGGGUGGCGAGUGGCGGACGGGUGAGGAAUACAUCGGAAUCUACUUUUUCGUGGGGGAUAACGUAGGGAAACUUACGCUAAUACCGCAUACGACCUACGGGUGAAAGCAGGGGAUCUUCGGACCUUGCGCGAUUGAAUGAGCCGAUGUCGGAUUAGCUAGUUGGCGGGGUAAAGGCCCACCAAGGCGACGAUCCGUAGCUGGUCUGAGAGGAUGAUCAGCCAAACUGGAACUGGGACACGGUCCAGACUCCUACGGGAGGCAGCAGUGGGGAAUAUUGGACAAUGGGCGCAAGCCUGAUCCAGCCAUACCGCGUGGGUGAAGAAGGCCUUCGGGUUUUAAAGCCCUUUUGUUGGGAAAGAAAAGCAGCAGGUUAAUACCCCGCUGUCCUGACGGUACCCAAAGAAUAAGCACCGGCUAACUUCGUG
rnacentral:rRNA from 1 species